UGACUGCGUACCUUUUGUAUAAUGGGUCAGCGACUUAUAUUCUGUAGCAAGGUUAACCGAAUAGGGGAGCCGGAGGGAAACCGAGUCUUAAUUGGGCGUUAAGUUGCAGGGUAUAGACCCGAAACCCGGUGAUCUAGCCAUGGGCAGGUUGAAGGUUGGGUAACACUAACUGGAGGACCGAACCGACUAAUGUUGAAAAAUUAGCGGAUGACCUGUGGCUGGGGGUGAAAGGCCAAUCAAACCGGGAGAUAGCUGGUUCUCCCCGAAAGCUAUUUAGGUAGCGCCUCGUGAAUUCAUCUCCGGGGGUAGAGCACUGUUUCGGCUAGGGGGCCAUCCCGGCUUACCAACCCGAUGCAAACUGCGAAUACCGGAGAAUGUUAUCACGGGAGACACACGGCGGGUGCUAACGUCCGUCGUGAAGAGGGAAACAACCCAGACCGCCAGCUAAGGUCCCAAAGUCAUGGUUAAGUGGGAAACGAUGUGGGAAGGCCCAGACAGCCAGGAUGUUGGCUUAGAAGCAGCCAUCAUUUAAAGAAAGCGUAAUAGCUCACUGGUCGAGUCGGCCUGCGCGGAAGAUGUAACGGGGCUAAACCAUGCACCGAAGCUGCGGCAGCGACGCUGAUGCGUUGUUGGGUAGGGGAGCGUUCUGUAAGCCUGCGAAGGUGGCCUGUGAGGGUUGCUGGAGGUAUCAGAAGUGCGAAUGCUGACAUAAGUAACGAUAAAGCGGGUGAAAAGCCCGCUCGCCGGAAGACCAAGGGUUCCUGUCCAACGUUAAUCGGGGCAGGGUGAGUCGACCCCUAAGGCGAGGCCGAAAGGCGUAGUCGAUGGGAAACGGGUUAAUAUUCCCGUACUUGGUGUUACUGCGAAGGGGGGACGGAGAAGGCUAUGUUGGCCGGGCGACGGUUGUCCCGGUUUAAGCGUGUAGGUGUGUGUUCCAGGUAAAUCCGGUUCACUUUAACACUGAGGCGUGAUGACGAGGCACUACGGUGCUGAAGCAACAAAUGCCCUGCUUCCAGGAAAAGCCUCUAAGCAUCAGGUAACAUCAAAUCGUACCCCAAACCGACACAGGUGGUCAGGUAGAGAAUACCAAGGCGCUUGAGAGAACUCGGGUGAAGGAACUAGGCAAAAUGGUGCCGUAACUUCGGGAGAAGGCACGCUGACACGUAGGUGAAGUGAUUUACUCAUGGAGCUGAAGUCAGUCGAAGAUACCAGCUGGCUGCAACUGUUUAUUAAAAACACAGCACUGUGCAAACACGAAAGUGGACGUAUACGGUGUGACGCCUGCCCGGUGCCGGAAGGUUAAUUGAUGGGGUCAGCGCAAGCGAAGCUCCUGAUCGAAGCCCCGGUAAACGGCGGCCGUAACUAUAACGGUCCUAAGGUAGCGAAAUUCCUUGUCGGGUAAGUUCCGACCUGCACGAAUGGCGUAAUGAUGGCCAGGCUGUCUCCACCCGAGACUCAGUGAAAUUGAACUCGCUGUGAAGAUGCAGUGUACCCGCGGCAAGACGGAAAGACCCCGUGAACCUUUACUAUAGCUUGACACUGAACAUUGAGCCUUGAUGUGUAGGAUAGGUGGGAGGCUUUGAAGUGUGGACGCCAGUCUGCAUGGAGCCGGCCUUGAAAUACCACCCUUUAAUGUUUGAUGUUCUAACGUGGACCCGUGAUCCGGGUUGCGGACAGUGUCUGGUGGGUAGUUUGACUGGGGCGGUCUCCUCCUAAAGAGUAACGGAGGAGCACGAAGGUUGGCUAAUCCUGGUCGGACAUCAGGAGGUUAGUGCAAUGGCAUAAGCCAGCUUGACUGCGAGCGUGACGGCGCGAGCAGGUGCGAAAGCAGGUCAUAGUGAUCCGGUGGUUCUGAAUGGAAGGGCCAUCGCUCAACGGAUAAAAGGUACUCCGGGGAUAACAGGCUGAUACCGCCCAAGAGUUCAUAUCGACGGCGGUGUUUGGCACCUCGAUGUCGGCUCAUCACAUCCUGGGGCUGAAGUAGGUCCCAAGGGUAUGGCUGUUCGCCAUUUAAAGUGGUACGCGAGCUGGGUUUAGAACGUCGUGAGACAGUUCGGUCCCUAUCUGCCGUGGGCGCUGGAGAACUGAGGGGGGCUGCUCCUAGUACGAGAGGACCGGAGUGGACGCAUCACUGGUGUUCGGGUUGUCAUGCCAAUGGCACUGCCCGGUAGCUAAAUGCGGAAGAGAUAAGUGCUGAAAGCAUCUAAGCACGAAACUUGCCCCGAGAUGAGUUCU
rnacentral:rRNA from 4 species